CAACAACAAUGACGUCGUUUUGCCUACAUCCCUAACUCCUUAUAAAUCGUCGGUUGCUAUUUACUCCAAAACAGUCCGAACGGCCGCGUGGGAAUCUCUUGCGCUUGCCAUGGCGUGCCUCCCAGGCUCCCACCAUUCUCAACGGGCACCCUCUCCUUCUCGAGCUUUCAGCUUCAUUCAAAGCCUUCCAGUUAAGAUUCGUCGUGCACAAGAGGAUCGUCGUCGAUUCUGCAAGUCGCCGUCACCGAUUCGUGCAUUUCGAAGCCCUUCUGGUCGCCGUCGAUUUUAUGGAGUUUUCUUUGUCCAAGAAAAAGAAGUCCUUCUGGUCACUUCCUACGCUGCAUCAAUUCAGACUUUGACAUUGUAACAGCAACUUUGACAGGAUCUUAAAGAUAAUAUGGCCAAGAUGUUGUUGUCAAGACUAAUUAGAUCUUUUUUAUUUAUUUACUUGUUAAAAUUCAUCGGAUCCUUUGGCAGAUGUGUCAAUGGCAGAAUUCAAAUCUAAGCUUGUUGAGUAGUACAAGUGAUCAAAGUAUGCAAAAAGGGCAAAAGCCAAGAUUCAAGAAAUAUCGGCUACUAUAAGCUUUUCAAAAUUUGAAGUUGUAUUAAGGCCCCCUUUAUUUAUUUGGAUCAAGGUGGUGCUGUUUUAGUGCUGCCUUAACAUGCAAUUCCUUUCUCUAUAGUUUUUGUUUUAAAACCAUCCACUGUGCUGUGUCUUCAGAUAAGAAUUUCUGUUAAAACUCUUUAAUAUGCCAAAAAUUGCAAGAAUGCCUAAGCUGCUUUCCUGUUAA